CUACCAAGUUCGUUUCCGUAAAAUUCUUCCUGUUGAGAUAUUAUGAACGUCUUUUUCAUCCUCUCUAUUCUGGCCUAUUUCUUGGCUAAUCCAAGUGAAGCCCAAAUAUCCCAGAGCUUACCUGCAUUAGCCAGCUAUGUUGAGGGCCAGGCUUCUCUGUUGGAGAGUGUCAAAUCCGAUCUACAAGAGUUACAACAGUCCAUUGGAAAAUGGCCCUUAGGUCAUUACUGUAU